rnacentral:lncRNA from 1 species
CCAACCCUAAUUUAAUCUAAGCCAUUGAUCAAAUAAGAUCAACGGCCGAGAUCCUUGCCUUAAUUAUAUUUCUAACUGCCCCCUAACCCCUUAUUCUUCAUCGUCUAUCAUCUCUCUCUCUCUCUAUCUCUAGUCUCUUCUAGAGACUUCUGUCUCUUCCCCUUCUCCGACGAGUCCCUUUAUCUUCUCUGGCGACUUUCUCCAUCUGAGACCAUGGAUUCCUUACGUCUGCCAGUAAAUGUCAUCCCUAAGGUCCUCGAAGGGUGAGGACCUGUCUACUCACACCCAUGGUGUUCCCGUUUGUUUCAGGCCUCCGAAGUUUGGUUUCGAGUGAGGCCUGUGACCUUUGAGGUUCAAGACAGUAACGUUUGAGGUUCUUCUGAUCUUGUAUGAGGUUUCUUUGAAACCCUAAUGUUUGAAACCUUCGAUUCUUUCAGAUUUACAGUAGAUCUGCACAUAUUACGAGUUAUUAUGAUGUUUCCUUUAAAAAACUUUCUAUUUUUCUGAAAAGACCUUCACUUUUAAUUUGGGUUCCGAAACCCGUUCUGAAAAUGGUUUUCUUUAUCGAUUUUUAACACUAUCUCAUGAUUUUCUCAUAUUUACCAUUGUUGAAUUCUUUCUCUUUGCAAUUAGGUUAGUAUAUGUGUUCGAUUAUCAUGAAUGGCUUUCUAGUGACUCAACUAUGUUUUCCCAUUAGGGUUUAUGGCUCUUCGUUUCCUUUGCAUGUAUGAUGUCUUCUAUGUUGAUUCGUACUAGUAUGUGUGUGAAACCCUAAUUUUCAGACUUAAAACCAUAAAAGCUACUUUUUUUCCCUGUGUGCUUGCAUAUGCAUUCAUGUUUCACUAAUCUUUACCCUAUGCUGUUUGUGUUUGGGUUCCUCUUGUAUCCCUGACUCACAUGACUCCUAAUGUUAUAUACUAGAUUUUCUGAUUUUCGUCUAAUGUGUGUUUAUUCCCUUUAAAUCAGUACUAGUUUGUCAUUUCAAAUCCUUGAAUGAUUGUGACUAGUACUUUAUUGAUUUUGUGUAUUUUCCUUUAACCAUGAUUCUUGCCUUAGACCCAUUACUGAUUUUAUGUAUUUUCCUUUAGCUUUGAUGCUUGACUUACUCUUUACUAAUUUUGUGAAUUUCCUUACUUGUUGACAUCUCCCUUAACUGAUAACUGAUUCCCUGCGAUACUAGGGAAUCUCUUACUGAUUUUCAAAAUGAUACUCUGCCUUAUUUUAUAUGCAAGCAUGUCUCCAAUUGACUCUUACUUUCCUUAAUUCAUAUGUUUUGCACCUGUUCCUAAUCACAUGCGUUAUUCUUUACUACUCUAUGUCUGAUUGAAAUUAGUCUUUCAAUUAGUUCUCUUUCCUUAUUUGUCACCCUGGUAGCCGUUUGAACCAGCACUCCCCAAUUAAAUGGGAGUACUUACGUUGAUUGAGAUUCUGAUUGUAUUUACUUCUAUAAUUACACUACAUUUUACUUCUUACAAUAUUUUCUACUCGUUUGUAGAACUAUAAAUACACCACUCUUUCAUUAACAAAAGAACAUCAGUGAAAAGCUCUCAAUUCCACAUUUUCUUGUGCUUCUUAUCUCUUUCUCCUUUUGCUCUAUUGCUGUUCUCUGCUCUUGCAUAUUAUUAGCCGACUGUAAGCUAAGGCUAAUACUGUGUUAUCACUUUGUCUUUUGCAUCCUGCUCUUGCUAUUUACUGGUAUGUCCUAGUUUCGAUUCCAAGCUCCAACAAAACUAUAAUUCUCUGUUUGUUUCAGUUCUUAUUAUUUCUAGUUUGCUUCUAUUUGUGGUUCUCUUGCAAAAUUUGUAAUUAAAACGUAUUACUAGCAUGUUGUUAUAUUUUCCCUUCCAUUUUGAUCUAGUAUACCCCUUUAUGUGUGUUUCUAAGCAUGGCUUUCAUACUCAUCCCAAAUCCCCAUCGCCACUCUAUAUGGUUUUUCUUCACAUCUGUUUUUCUAUGACUAUGCCAUUAAUGGAUAUUUCUGAACAUGCUUGAGCUAGUCCUACACCUUUGUUGGAUUACAUGUUUUGGCCUAUGUGUCCCUAACCCCCACUAUCCGAGUGUGUGUUUGUUAGACCAGCAUUUGUUCUGUGGUCUUUGGAUGUGUAUGAAUCUAUCUUUGGCGGUGGUUGUUGUUUAUUACUCUAUUCUUCUUUUCAACAAACUGUUUCGCUAAACAGACUCUUUGUUUUACAAAAUAUUUUUCGUGAAAUUCCUUUCAACCCUAUUUCUAUCAAAAGAUUUUCGAAUGUCUUGCACUGCACUUUAUUCCUAGAUACUUAAGUUCCACCCACUCAGUGUGAGCACUGCUUUGGGGACCUCCUGAGUACCCUCUAAACUCUUGACACACUGAGGCUAGUAUUUCAACACUGCACAUGUUUAACUCCUGGUUACAAGUCUGGGCGUGAGCAUGGCCUAGGGGCCCUCGAGAUCCUUUGGGGACUUUGGCACACCCAAGUUAUGAAAGACUAUUUUUUGCAGUACGGUUUGGAGGAUUUGGGCCUAUUGAAGGCUCUCUAUAGAAUAACUUCUUAUUUUGAUGUAAUUCAGAUACUACUGGUUUGUAAUAAUUUGUAAAUGAAUGAUUGAGGACUGAAUAGUGAAUAUGGGGAGGGGUAUACAUGUUUAUUUCUAUGGGUAGAAAGCAUAUUGAUAGGUUUUUACUUACCUAUUUGGGGGCAAUAAAUAACCUGCUUAGGACUUGCACUCCAUAUGUUAGAAAUCAAGUUUUAGGUCUUUUAUUUUAAGCAUGUCAUAUCACUCACUUCGUAAUCUUAAUUAUUAACAAGAAGCCAAAAAACUGUUAUUACUGUAUUGGCAUAGUAGAAAUCAUGUUUUAGGGAACUCCUGCGUGUGUUAGACAUCCUGUUGCUUAGAGUGUUACACUUAUUUGGAUUGCAAUUGUCAAAACACCAAUUACCAUGUUUAAUCUAAUAAUAAAAGUCGUGUGCGUAUCCAUUUUAAAAUAAGAGUCAAAUAUGCAUGUCCACUCGUUAAGAUGAUUAGACAACAUAUAUGACGCCUAGGCAAACUUUAGGCCUAAUAGGAAUUGAUUAAUCAUGUGGUUACCAGUUUAAGACUAAGUAGCCCCUUUUAAUUUUAGACUCUGCCGCUCCCAUUCUUAUUUUUGAUUCUUUGAACUUCACUCUAUUUUAUACUAAAUUCUCGCCCUACUUUGAAGUGAUCUCGAAAUUGUGUAUCCAUGUUUUCUACUGGGUUACCCUUUUCGGCCAAAAAUCGUGCUAUAUUUAAAAAAAUAUUUAUUCUACAUCUAGUCAAGUUAAUGUAUCUCAAUGCCUUUACUCUAUUUUCAAAAAGUUUUUUAGCUAUUUUAUCUAUAUUUUCACUAACUCCAAAACUGCCGUGUACUUCUAAAUCCAAUUGUUCCUAGUCAUAUUUCUGAACCGAGCAUUUUCCGAAUCACUUAGUCUUAAUUAAACUUCUGCUUCCAUUGAAAUUUAGUGUUUAGUUCAACAUUCCAGCUUCUAAAACUCUUGUCUUUGAGACCUCAAAUAUAUUUGAGACAUGCUAAUUAUGUGCUCACUUAUGGAGGGAUCUAUGAGACUCUACGUGCCCUUCGUAUAUUCCCCUUUAGUGUAGUCCUAUUCAUUAUGUAUGUCGCUUAGCAUUGUUUUCUUUAUCCUUAGCGGUUCAGCCUAGUCCUUGCCACGUAGGAAUAGUGGUCCUAAAUGCCCUUAGGACUUAUAGAACGGGAUGGGUACACGCAAUAAGUAUUCGAGACCAACUCACGCAUUUAAUAACCUUUAAGGGGUGAGAAGGGUAGAAUAUGGAGAUGAUGACCAAUGCAGUAAUAUCUCACGUUGCCCUUUUUUCCUGAGGGGCAAUUACUGAAUAUCACUUUGAUGAUUCAUAUUGAUUAUAAACCUAGGACCCCUCUCCCUUUGUUUUUUUUGUAUAACUAUUCAAAUUUUUCGUAAACCUCUUACCUUCAAAGCUCGCUUUUGCUUAUUUGCAAUGUUACAUACUAGAAUCUUUGAUUGUCUACUGUAUCAUGUGAAGUAUCAAUAUAACAUGGCCAUGAACCACACUAGUAGAUCUUAAGAGGUGCCUAACACCUUCCCCUCGAGAUGAUUUUUAGCCCUUACCGAAACUCUGGUUUUCCAACUCAAAACUUCUUUUGUGUCCUAAUGCACUUUACUCAUUAGGUGGUGACUCUUAAAAAUUUCAAAACAAACCCAAAUACCGAAAGGGAAAAGUGUUUUCCUCACAAAUGUUAAAAAUUUGAUUUUGUCUUUAAGGAAUAAAAAGAGGGCAUCGACACCAAGUCACAAUCCCCAAUAGUGCACGACCCCACGCUCGUCAUCGGGCAUGUGUAACAUCAAUAUAGCACUACGAUGUGCAAUCCAGGGUUUCAAACCCUCAGAGCAUCACUUACAAUCAUUACUCACUUCGAUUCAGCUAAAUCUCUAGCUUGCGAUGGCUUUGCCCCUCAAAUCGGCCUCCGCGCACGUCGAAUCUAUCCAAAAUCAUAACGAGAACAUAAAAAAAUGUUAAGGGACAAAGCCAAGAAAAAACAAUCAAAAAAGGGCACAAAUCCCGAAAUUGCCAAAACUCGAGCCCCGGGCCCACUUCUUGAAACUUAGAAACUUUUACAUCAACCGGUUCCUUAUCUCCCCACGAGUUCAUGCAUAUUAGAAACAUCAGAAUCGGAUUCCAAAUGACCCCUCAAAUCCUCAUUUAAAGCCCUCUUAAACUCAAUCCCUAAGCCCCCAUUUAGUUCUUUAAUUCCUUUAAUUUCAGUCUUAAUCCAUGAAAUAUUACCAUAGAACUGUGUUUUAGGUCCAAAAUCCUUACCUUAACGAAGUCCCUUCGAUUUCUCUCUUCAAAAUCGUCAAUGCAAUUCCGAGUUUAAAAAUGGUUAAGCCCUUCAAAAAACAUGAGGGAAUAAAUAUAUACACUCUGCCCAGGCCUUUCUGCAUCUGCAGCACUUCAACCGCAUUUGCGGUACCACAUUUGUGGUCUUACUCAUCUGCUUAUGAGGAAAUUCAUUAAUCCAGCCUAAACUAUAUUCAUGGCCGCAAUUCUGCAUCUGGGACAUCGCAGAUGCGGUCUCCUAACUGUUUCUACGGUCUCAGCAAAACUGACCAACUUUUGUUUUUCCGGCAAAUUCUCUUGCACAUGCAGAACAGCACAUGCGGUCUCCAAACUGCAGGUGCGGAAACACCAGAAGCAACAACUUUUUGCAAUUUCACAAGUCUCAAAUCUUCCCGUCAACCAUCCAAAAUCACCUCGAGGCCCCCAGACCUUAACUAAAAGCUCAAACAUGUCCAAAUACCUUAUUCAAACUUGUGGUAAUCAUCAAAACACCUCAAACAACAUCAAAUCACCCAAAACACAUCGGAUUCAAGCCUAUUUUUUUAAAAAUCAACCGAAAUACGCUUCUGAUUAAAAACCCAACCAAACCACGUCUGAAUGAUUUGGGAUUUUACACACACAUCCCAAAACAACAAAGCUACUGCAACUCUCAGAAAUUUCAUUCCGACAUCUAUCUCAAAAUCUCACAUAUCAACCGAAAAACGCUAAAAUCUCAAAUUUUCCAAUUCAAGCCUAAACCUUCCCCGGACUUCCAAAAUGCAUUCCGAUCACGUUCCUAAUUCAAAAAUAACCCAACCAAGCUUGCCAAAUAAUAAAAAUUUUAAUCCAAGAUCAUAUUCAAAUAAGUCAAAUAUUAGUCAAGCCUUUCUAAUUUUUAGCGCUAAACUGAGAGAUGUUCUUCCAAAUUUAUUCCGAUUUCUCUAGAAACCAAAACCAAUGAUUUACAUAAGUCAUAAUUCACCACACAGGUCAAGUCAUGCCUGAGACAUGCCGAUCAAAGUGCAAAAGUUCUAAACGAUCGUUCUAAUCGUUACAUCCUUCCCCACUUAAACAUAUGUUUGUCCCCGAACGUGCCCAGAGUUGUUCUAAUAGCUAAUCAAUCACUGUAUAACCUUACCAUGCAUAUACCCGGGGGUGACCCCACAUCACCUUAUCUCAUAUAGGUCCGAUAACACAUUGUAAUUGAAAUUUCGCAACCAAAUCUAGCCAAUAAACCAUAGAACCACAUUUCCACUUCUAAAAUCAUCAAUACGAACAGAAUCUCACAUUUAUACUGUGAAUAAGCCCGAACAAGCUGUAACAAACCAUAUCUGUUAUCUCAGGUGCACUCACAUGAUAUACCACAUAACUCAAACACUUGUAGUGAUAACUUCUAAUUACAGUAGCUGCCCACAACAACCGAAUGCCGGUAGAAAACCUCUUAUCAACUAAAGUCUCAUUCCAAAACUUUCAUACACUGACAUGAUAAAUGAAACACGCAAUAAGCCAUAACUAUUCUUUAAGUCAACUAUUCCUGAAGCCACUUCCUCUUUGGCAAAGGCAUAGUAAAUUUUUGAGCCGAACCUCGAUAUUAUCCUUCCCACAUACCGAAAUCAAAUUCGUUUUGUAUACACAGAGGAACCUAUCAAUCUCAUCUAAUCAUAUACAAAUACGCUGGUGACAUGACACAUCAAUAUAGGCCUAAGCUAGAACUUGUAGAAUAUGCGCACUAAUAAGAAACUAUCCAAACAUACUCAGAUCAUGAAAAUGACUCAAAUGAAAGAGUUGUGCCUCAAGCUCACCAGUACCGCCACAACACAAGGCUGAGAACCCGUCUCACAUCAUAGAAAUAAAACACAUGAAUCUAACCGCAAGGUCAUAUCUCCAUAUAGAUUCACUGCAAAUGCGCGAUCCUAUCAGAACACUGCUCCAUAUGAAAACACCUCAAGUCACUAUGCUAGAAAUCGACAACCACACAUAGUUUGAUGUUUGGAACCAAAGAAAAUCAUCACACCCAUGGUGAAGCAAAUAACAUACACCAACCCGGAUGGACAUAACCGGUAGACUAUUCAUCGAGCAACACCCAAUCACUCUUUCUGCAAAUCAUAACACCUCGCAACAUAGAAAGGUAACUCGUAGAUCUCCCUAAAUAACUAAUAAGCUCAAUAGCAAUCGAAUCAACACAUCCCUCAACAAUACAAAUUCGGGUCCAACCAAACCAGCUCAAGUUCGAACACGUAUCCACAUUGGCUUGCAUACGAACUCCUUAUCAAGGGAACCUCAAGCUACUCCUUCCACCCCUAUUACUCUGCUGGUGAAAUACGAUAUGGUGCUCGACAUCAAAUUAAUAUUGAAAUAAAUAGACUUUCCCAGCGACAUACCCGAAUACAAGAACCACAUUCGAAAAGACCCUCACCACCAGAACUGAACCAUUGGUAAAGCCAUUAGACUAACAAAUAAGAAAGACAAUCCUUCCCAUCCAUCUAUUGGGUCUUCGAAAUAUAAAACCAUUACACUAUGGUGUAAUCCGUCAAACCUCGCAAGUCAAUCACUGGAAUUCCCGGCAUAGCCAACAACACCGCCUUAGCACAAUAGCCUAGAAUAGCACAACAUGGAGACAACCAGUCUUUACUCGAUACUACAUUCAAAAUUCAACCUACCAAGCAACAAAAGAUCCACUAGGGCCUGCAAACUCCGAUAGUCACUGAAUAAUGCCAAUACACAUGACCCACAACCACAACAUAGUCUGAAUAUGAGUACUCACAGUCUUUAACUCCACAUAGCACACAAUUCAUUUUAGCUGAUCCUAGUUCCGCCGUCUGAAUGCAUUCCACACCUCAAAUAUCCUAUCAAUCCACGAGAGAUACUCAAAAUUCCUCUGUACCACCAAGAAAACUCGAAUAUCAACAAUCGAUCUAACAAGAAAGUGCCCCAAUAAUAUCGAUAUACCAUCAACUUAAUCACAUUGCCUUUUUUAAGCAUAUACCCUUAUAACCUGAAGAUCAUUCCCCUUAUCAUCUGAAAUGACCCGUGCUUUCUAUGAAUUUUACGACCUUCUGUUCAGAACUAGACUGUAACCUUACACACGUAAAUAUCAAUCAUCCACAACAUACCGUAUAUACCAUACUAUCCUAGAAUAACAUGAGAACUUCAUAUCCCUUUCGAGCCAUAAUCAUCUAUGUACUCAAUGAGUAUAGUAAUUUCCAUUGAUCCCAUCUAGAAGAAAACCAGUAUACAUCCCAUGAUCCUCAUGCCCAUAGAAAAUAUUCAAUUUCAACAAAGGUAGAAACCAUCAAAAACUCUCCGAGUUCCCCUUGCACAAACCAGACCUGCCAGGACUGAAUCUUUUUAGCUCGACCAAGAUACGCAAGCCAUCAAAACCUAAGAGCACUACGGCAAAAUACCUGUAGAAACUCAUUACCUCGUCAAUACCCAAUGAACUAAUCCUAUCCUUACCAUAACGAUCUGGCCUACUGCCAAGCUAUCCCAUCCAUCUAGGUUCCCUUCUAAUUUACCUUCAACUUGAUACUCUUUCUUGCUAUAACAUCACAAUUCCUCAACCUAGCCGUACCACACGAGACUCAAGCCGCUGAAUACUCUCUAGACACUCCCAAUAGCAUCACGUUCAAAAUGCUUACCUUGAAGAGACUCCCUACGAAUAAAAAAUAAUUACCUGAUAUAUAGCAUCCCAUAAUUAAUAUAGAAAACACCACAAGUCUUGAAAUAUUGUAAUGAAAAUUCAGUUUCUAGCCACAUAUAUAACUUGAAGAUAAUCAAUUGUUACAUGUAAAAUCUUGAAUGCAUUAGAACCAUUCACGAUAGUCAUCCACUCUACUCAAAUUGCAAUUAGCUUGAUCAAAAGAACCAAAAAACCCAUGCCUUAUUAGCACUCUGACACCGCAAAAUGUGACAUCAUUCCAUUACAACCAAGAAAAUUCAUUCUCUAUGCACCGAGCAUUCUUUACUAACAAUCUCAAGAUAUCUCGUGAUUCUUACACAGUUGUGAAGCAUUCUAUAACCUUUGUUAAGAAUUUUCCUUUACUUGAGCCAUCCUCAGUAUCAAUCUCCACAGGCCAUAACCGAUUCAUCAGAGUGCCUCAAACUGGAACAGACAUAGCACAUAACCGUGCAAUCAACUAAUCAAUAGCAGACUUCCCACUUGGCUCAAAGCCAUAGAUAAAAAACACACUCAAUAACUCAUAUCACAUAUACUCGCUUUCUGCCAUAAUACUAUAGCGAGAUUAAACUCAAACCUUAAUAAGCUCAUGAAACACAUGACAUAUAGUACCUUGAAUGUUCUAAAAAUCUCGCAUUCAUCCUUGCAACUGUCAAGCCCACUCUCUUAAGCGACUCAAAAUUUGAAUUUCAACAAUUAUAUUUCACUUCUAAAUUAGACCUUCUAAAAGACAUAUAAGGAUCACACAACCUCGGAACACUUCUCAGGAGAUAACCCACUUGCCGUGUCUUCCACUAAACAUUUUUGUAUACCUUCCGUUGUCACAAACAUUACAUAGUCAAUUAGACUUCCUAAUCCUGCACUCAUACCCCAACAUGAAAUUUAAUUCACUCCCAAAUAGGAUACAUGGAAUGAUUCUUAGCACACCCAUAACUCGGGGCUAUACCUCAAAUCAAAAUGAAAAUCAAGAACCUAAUAGUUCUUCUAUCCUCCAGUAGACCUUCCUUGUUGCUUCAGAUUAAUAAGAAUACAUCUUGCAGUCACAACAUACCCAUCACAUAGCCAUGCAGCCGUCACUUCUACUAAUAGGGACACUACCAAACAUAUCAGUUCGAAGGCACAUGCUCAGACAAUCAGCACCUCAGUGCUCAAGCUAUAGGCAAAGAUCCGGCCUCGUAUCCACCAGACUGGUCCAACAUCAACUCACAAAAAUCACGUCUUACCCCUCUAUCCUGGAAUCAUAAGCCAUCGAUGCACAUCUGAUACUGAGCGUUCAUGCGUGCAUACGAAUGUAAGGAAAGAAUUUAAAAAAGUUACAUUACAAGCUGAAUCGAAGAUUGCAUGAUAAGAAUUCAGUUUAUGGAUGGUUUAGAGUCAAAUUGGAUGAAGGAAUCUAUUUUUGGAAAUUUGAACGGUGAAAAGUUUACCGAAAUUGGACUUUUGUGUAAAUUGUCCCGAAAAUUGGUCAUGGAUGAUCUCAACAAUUUUGUAUGGUGAUUUUGGACUUAGGCGCACAUGCAGAUUCAGAUUUGGAGGUCCGUAGAGUAAAUUGAAGCAUUUUGACGAAAGUUGAAAAAAUUGAAGUUUAGAAAAUGAUAAUGUUUGACCCAUAUAUGAAUUUUGUGAUAUCGGGGUCACAAUGCAAUUUCGAGAGUUGGAGUAGCCUGUUAUGUCAUUUUGGACUUUUCUACAAACUUUGGCAUUAUUUCGGGUUGAAUUGAUAGGUUUCGGCAUGAGAUUCGAUAUUUGAAGAUUUGGAAAUUCAUAAGCUUGAUUUUUGGGUUAAUUCGUUGAUCUGGUGUUGUUUUAGGUGAUUUUAAACCUCGAGCGAGUCCGUGUUAGGCUAUGUGACUGGUUUGUGUGAUUAGAUGGGGUCGUGGGAGCCGUAGGUGUUUUUCGGAUGGGCUACAAUUCAUUUUUCUCCUAUUUUGAACAGCUGUUCUGCUGCUUCUGAUAUCCUUUUACGCGAUCGCGAAAAGUCUCUCGCGAUCACAAUGCAUUGUCACUGACUACUUUGAAAUCCUUCUUUGCAUUCGCAUCCUUCUCUUCCUGUUCACGAAUCUCUGCUUUAAUCCUCAUUGCGUUCGCGUCCCUCAUCACGCAUUUGCGUAGCUAUGGAAUUGCGCUCUUCGCGUUCGCGUACUAGUUCACGGGUUCUUGAAGAGCAAUCCCUGGGCCAUAAUAUUUUACUUCUUCAGGUUCGCGUGCGUGCUUCCACAUUCGCAAAGCACAUCUAGGUAGCCUUCAUUUUUCUUCUUCACGAACGUGAGACUUCCUUCAUAUUCGCGAUGCCUUAUAUGUCUGGGCAGAAUAUAAGUAUUCCAAAUCAAGGGUUUAGCCAUUUUGUUUUAUCAAAACUCAAGCUUGGGAGCUCGAUGUGAAUAAGAUUUUUAGAUAUUUUCAAAGAUAUUAAUUGGGUAACAAUUCUAAACUCCUUUUUGCUUGUAACCGACUAAUUUAAGCAGGAAUUCCUCAUUUAAUUUCAGAUUUUGAAAGAAAAUUUGAUAAAACUUCAUAGGCAGAAUUAUUGAGUUUUGAUCAAGUUUUUGAGAUUCGAUUUGACAGAUUUUUAUAUGGUUAGACUCGUAGGAGUACGAGGUUUCUAAAAAUGUUAUUUUUAUCCGAUUUCGAGAUGUUGGCCUGAGGGUCAUUUUGGUCAUUUUACCUAAUUUCGCGUCUUAGCUUUGAAUUAAAUCAUAGAAUCACUUACAUGAGAUGUUAUUUAUGAUAUGUAUUGAAUUUAAAAGAUUUGGGCCAUUUGAAGUCGAAUACCCAUGGAAAGAGCGUGGUUUCUAGUUGAUUUUUAGCCUGUUCGAGGUAAGUAUCUUGCCUAACCUAGUGGGGGGGAUUUUCCCUUCGGAUUUAGUCUUCUCUGCUGAUUAUAUUUCAUGUACGCGAGGGGACGAGUGCGUGCUCGGAUUUAUUUGUGGAAAAAUUGGCUUUUUUAGGUUCUUAGGUCCUUAUAUUUACUGAGUAUGAUGUUGUUCUUGACAUGAUUAAAUCUUCCUAUUGCUAGUUCCACCUUUACAUGUUUUACUUGGAAUUAAUUGCCUUAUGGUUCUUUCUUAUUGCUUAAUUGACUCUUACUUUGCCUAACUGAUGAUCUUUAUCCUUUCUACUGUCACAGUUACCUUUUAUAACUACUUGUCUUCAUUGGAUAUCAUUAUUCUCUCUCAUGUAAUUAUUUAGUUUUUAUUGAGGUUACAAUUAUCUUCUCGCUGCUCAUCCUUAAUUGAAUUGUUGCAUAUCCUUCGUAACUUGCCCAGCCUUAAAAGAAGUUUAAACAUCCUAUGUUUAUUUGACAUUCCUUAUUCGAAAUUAUUUGAUUCAUGUUAAUUUCCUUGUUGUUGAACUAUAUAUUAUGAAAUCAUUGCUUCACAUUAUUUUCCUCUUGUUGGGUUAUUCUUAUUACGCUUAGUAUUCUCUGUUGCGAUUAUCCCUUGUGGGUUUGUUUUACCAUCCCCUGGUGAGCGGAAGUUCUUGAAAUGAUUCACUUGUUGUGCUCUUGUAUAUAUUGCCAUUGUUGUUGUACUUGAGAUGGUGGUGCACGAGGUUUUUGCCGUGCGGUUGUUGAUAUUGAUGCACGAGGUUUCUUCUAUGCGAUUGUUGUUGAGGGGUUUCACAAGGUACUUACAGUGCUAAUGGUUCUAUUGAUAUAUUGCACAUGCAGCGUAAUAAGGCGGGAUAUGCUUAUAUGCUUUUAUGUGGGUUGCGCAUGUGGCAGAAUAAGGUGGGAACAUUAUGAUGCAUGUGUGGUAAAAUAAGGCGGCAGCUAUCAUGUUAUUAUUUGCACACUUGGCGGAAUAAAGUGGGUAUGUAAGAUAUUGAUUUGUAAGGAUUUGUGAUGGCCUGUGGAGUCAUUCCUAUUUUCGUUUAAUAUUGUGAUUGUGGCUUCCUUUCCUCUAUGAUCUUUAUCUCGCGGAUGUGGUGAGGGGACCUUGUGCAUGCUGCCCACUUUUCUUUUAAUGUUUAUUAGCUGGAAGAAAUCUUGUUAAAACAUUUUCACAAGCAUACACGCAGUUGAAUAAUCCCAUUGGAUGUGAAGUCCUCCUGAUUUUGCCAAGUAUAGUGGUACAUCCUCGUUUAACCACUUCAUAUGUGUGAGUGGCCCUAGUUAGCAAGUUAGUUGUUAGUACUACCGUAAGACUGAUGGGCGAAAAUGAUGCCAAGUGUUAUAUUGCAGGUACUAGGACUCGUGAGUUGUAAUUUGUCCGACAUUCGUCAAAUUCAUGGGAAAUGGUUGAAUAAAACCUGAUGUUAACACCGUCGAAGGAUCUGAGUUAUUGUUUUGUUUCCCUGUAUGGUAUUGUGAGCUUAGGAUUUGGAUUGUGUUUUUUUGCCAUUAUUAUGUGUCAUCAUUCUUUAUAUUUUCAUUGUUAGGUGUUGUUUCUUCCCUUAUUGUGAUUGUACCAUUAUUGGUAAUUUCGUAUAGUCUUUACAUAACUAAAUAUCAUGUAUUGGUAAUUUCGUACUGUCUUUAAAUAACUAAAUAUCAUGUUCCAUUAUUCCUAUUAUUAUGCUAUUUAUUUUACCGGUAGGUGUCUUGACCGUUUCUCGUCACUACUCCACCGAGGUUAGUCUUGAUACUUACUGGGCACCGGUGUGAUGUGCUCAUGCUACUCAUUUGGAUAUUUUUGUUAUGCAAAUACAGGUGCUUCCACUCAGUUCUGUCAGCCUUGGAAGAAGGUGUUUAUGUAGAGACUUCGAGGUAUAUUUGCUACGUCCGCAGACUGAAGAGUCCCUUUCUAUCUUUCUUUAAUAAGUAUAGCCCUUUCACUAUUUUUCCUUUGUUUAGACAUUUCCUGAGUUAGAGCUUCUUAUGUAUCCCUUAGCUUGUUAUUUGUGAGAUUCCAAGUUUUUUGAAUUUGGUUAACUUCGAGAGUUGUUAUUGUAGGUGACGAGCGGCACCUUAAACACAGUUUUAUUUUACUAGUUUAGUUUUAAUUAUUUCUUCUGCAAUUAUAGUUUAUAUUCCACAUUGUUAGGCUUACCUAAUCGUAGAGACUAGGUACCGUCACGACAUGUUGAUGGAGGGCGAACUGGGGUCGUGACAAGUUCAAAAACUACUAAGAAAGUAAUGAAGCUGUAAAAUCUCUUAAAAACAUCUUAACUCUGUUUAAUCUUAUUUGAAAAUGACUUUUCAAGAGUUAACAAAUGAAUGCAAAAAGAUUAGUGCAGAUAAGCUCUAAAAUUUGCCCCUCAGGCCCAAUGUCACCAAAUCUGCCCCUCGAGCAAUGUUUCAAAAUAAUACCAGCCCCUAGAGCAAUUAUAUAGAACAAUACCAUCCCCUCGGGAAAAAUCUCAUAUCACAAUGGGUACCUGCACUCACUAGGGGUGUACAGACUCCGGGAGUGGCACCUUACAGCCCAAACGCAAUAUCAAGCCACCUCGUGGCAUCAUAGACAUGUUCUCGGCCUCAUAUCAAUAUUAGCAAGCCACCUCGUGGUGUACAUAUCUCAGGCCCUCGACCUCAUAAUUAGAUCAGUGUAUCACUACUGUGGUGUGCAGCCGGACCCAAAAUGAUAUCCUCAAAACACAAACCCUCGGUCUUACUCAGUCAAAAAUUACAUAAACCUCUUGGGCAACAGUAAAACAUGAUGAUCAGCCCAAAAAUAUUUUUUUAAAUAUCAUUUAAACUGUUAACAAUAAAUAAAGGUAUCCACAGAACAACAGAUCAUACAGGUACAGUGGCUACUGCUAAUAAUCGACAACAUUCAAGUGAGACUCGACAACAUUCAAGUGAAGAUGGACAAUGGACGAUGGCCAACAAAGUAGUAACUAUUGACAUUACAUCACAGAAUACAGACAUAUUUGCAGCAUAUAAUGCACAAACAAGCCAAUCGUGGAAUCUAUUUGCAACGCCUCAUCAAAACAAGUCUGAUUUAACACUUUAAUAAAUUCCAAGGCAAGCAAUAUAAGCAAUUGACAUUACAUCACAGAAUACAGACAUAUUUGCAGCAUAUAAUGCACAAACAAGCCAAUCGUGGAAUCGAUUUGCAGCGCCUCAUUUAAACAAUCAGAAAACGAGAAAGCUCCCAACGAGAGCUGCAAAACAAAAACAGGUCGCUCGACUCCCUAUUUCAUUAUCCAGUCAAGCAAAAAUUAUACCAUGAAUUCUGAUGUCUUUUUAACAAAAAUUGUGAUCGAAGGCAGUAAAUUAAAAUCUGGAGAAAGAAGAGCGAUGCUUGGCUUCUUCAAUUUUCUAGAUUCCCAUCACAAUAGUUUCCAACCUCUCGUGUUAUCUUGCUAUUCACAUCAUAGAGUUUUGAUACAACACUCUGUGAUGAUCAUAGUUUUUAGUCCUUGUAGGGCGUGUUUGUAAUGAGGUAUUAGAUGCCUUAAUAGGAGGAAUACGUUAAGGUUAGACCGGUGGUGUUAGGAUAACAACUCCGGCGAGAUUGACUCCCUUAUCUGUAUUUUGCCUAUUUGCUGUUGUAAUUUUCUUUUCUACUAUUAAUAAAAACUCUAGCCCUAGGCUCUGCCUAGUGGGUUGCCUAAAAAAAAAGUUAAAGCAAAGUAAACAUGGCUGAGUUUUAAAAACAAUGGAAAAUAACAAGACUGAGUUCAAGUAUGAAGUCAUUAUAGUGAGAAAAUAUCAAUAACAAGCCACAAAGGGUUCACAUAGUUGGCACUAGGCCCAAGUAUGACAUUCAACCCAAAUAACGAUGAUAGUAAAAAGUUUACAAUCAAAUGCGCGGUAAAAUUAUCAAUCGGUACGGACCAAGUCACAAUCCCCAAUAGUGCACAACCCCAUGCUCAUCAUUGGCCAUGUGUCUCACCACAAUGUAGCACUAUGAUGUGCAAUAUAGGGUUUCAAACCCCCAGAGCAUCAUUUACAAUUAUUACUCUCCUCGAACUGGCUAAAUCUCUAACUCGCGAUGCGUUUUCCCCUCAAAUCAGUCUCCACGCGAACGAAUCUAUCCAAAAUUGUAAUGAGGACACGCUAAGGGAACAAAGCCCAAGCGAAAAGCCGAGCCUCGGGCUAGCUUUUCAAAAUGUAGAAAUUUUUACAUCAACGGGUUCCAUUUCUCCCCAUGAGUUCAUACAUAACAAAGACAUUGGAAUCGGAAACAAAAAUACCCCUUAAACCCUCAUUUAAAGCCCUCUUAAACUCAAGCCCUAAAACUCCAUUUUUAGUCAUUUCAUUCCUUUAGUUUCAGUCUUAAUCCAUGAAAUAUUACCGUAGAAGUGUGUUUUAGGUAAAAAAAAAAACCUUACCUUAAUUAAGUUCCUUUGAUUCCUCUCUUUAACAUAGCCCAAAGCUCCCAAUUCCAAGUUUAAAAAUGGUUAAGCCCUUCAAAAAUUGCGAAGAAAGAAAUAUAUACAUUCUGCCCAGGCCAUUUCGCCUAUGUGGUACCGCAUUUGCGGUUAGCUCAUCCACUUCUGCCGAAAUUCAUUAAUCCAGCCUAAACUACAUUUGCGGCCAUAAUUCUGCAUCUCCGACGUCGUAGAUGCGGUAUCAUUACCGCUUCUGCAGUCAUAGCACGCCUGACAAACUUUUUGCUUCUACGGCCAAUUCUCCCAUACACGCAGCGCCGCACCUGCAGUCCCCAAACUGCAGGUGCGAAAACACUUGAAGAAGCAACUUUCUGCACUUUCACAAGUCCCAAAUAUUCCCAUCAACCAUCCAAGACCACCCCGAGGCCCCAGGACUUCAACCAAAAGCACAAACAAGUCCUAA